AACCGACUAAUGUUGAAAAAUUAGCGGAUGACUUGUGGCUGGGGGUGAAAGGCCAAUCAAACCGGGAGAUAGCUGGUUCUCCCCGAAAGCUAUUUAGGUAGCGCCUCGUGAAUUCAUCUCCGGGGGUAGAGCACUGUUUCGGCAAGGGGGUCAUCCCGACUUACCAACCCGAUGCAAACUGCGAAUACCGGAGAAUGUUAUCACGGGAGACACACGGCGGGUGCUAACGUCCGUCGUGAAGAGGGAAACAACCCAGACCGCCAGCUAAGGUCCCAAAGUCAUGGUUAAGUGGGAAACGAUGUGGGAAGGCCCAGACAGCCAGGAUGUUGGCUUAGAAGCAGCCAUCAUUUAAAGAAAGCGUAAUAGCUCACUGGUCGAGUCGGCCUGCGCGGAAGAUGUAACGGGGCUAAACCAUGCACCGAAGCUGCGGCAGCGACACUGUGUGUUGUUGGGUAGGGGAGCGUUCUGUAAGCCUGCGAAGGUGUGCUGUGAGGCAUGCUGGAGGUAUCAGAAGUGCGAAUGCUGACAUAAGUAACGAUAAAGCGGGUGAAAAGCCCGCUCGCCGGAAGACCAAGGGUUCCUGUCCAACGUUAAUCGGGGCAGGGUGAGUCGACCCCUAAGGCGAGGCCGAAAGGCGUAGUCGAUGGGAAACAGGUUAAUAUUCCUGUACUUGGUGUUACUGCGAAGGGGGGACGGAGAAGGCUAUGUUGGCCGGGCGACGGUUGUCCCGGUUUAAGCGUGUAGGCUGGUUUUCCAGGCAAAUCCGGAAAAUCAAGGCUGAGGCGUGAUGACGAGGCACUACGGUGCUGAAGCAACAAAUGCCCUGCUUCCAGGAAAAGCCUCUAAGCAUCAGGUAACAUCAAAUCGUACCCCAAACCGACACAGGUGGUCAGGUAGAGAAUACCAAGGCGCUUGAGAGAACUCGGGUGAAGGAACUAGGCAAAAUGGUGCCGUAACUUCGGGAGAAGGCACGCUGAUAUGUAGGUGAAGUCCCUCGCGGAUGGAGCUGAAAUCAGUCGAAGAUACCAGCUGGCUGCAACUGUUUAUUAAAAACACAGCACUGUGCAAACACGAAAGUGGACGUAUACGGUGUGACGCCUGCCCGGUGCCGGAAGGUUAAUUGAUGGGGUCAGCGCAAGCGAAGCUCUUGAUCGAAGCCCCGGUAAACGGCGGCCGUAACUAUAACGGUCCUAAGGUAGCGAAAUUCCUUGUCGGGUAAGUUCCGACCUGCACGAAUGGCGUAAUGAUGGCCAGGCUGUCUCCACCCGAGACUCAGUGAAAUUGAACUCGCUGUGAAGAUGCAGUGUACCCGCGGCAAGACGGAAAGACCCCGUGAACCUUUACUAUAGCUUGACACUGAACAUUGAGCCUUGAUGUGUAGGAUAGGUGGGAGGCUUUGAAGUGUGGACGCCAGUCUGCAUGGAGCCGACCUUGAAAUACCACCCUUUAAUGUUU
rnacentral:rRNA from 1 species